AGUCGAGCGGAAGGCCCUUCGGGGUACUCGAGCGGCGAACGGGUGAGUAACACGUGAGUAACCUGCCCCAGGCUUUGGGAUAACCCCGGGAAACCGGGGCUAAUACCGGAUAUGACCAUCUGUCGCAUGGUGGGUGGUGGAAAGAUUUUUUGGCUUGGGAUGGGCUCGCGGCCUAUCAGCUUGUUGGUGGGGUGAUGGCCUACCAAGGCGGCGACGGGUAGCCGGCCUGAGAGGGCGACCGGCCACACUGGGACUGAGACACGGCCCAGACUCCUACGGGAGGCAGCAGUGGGGAAUCUUGCACAAUGGGCGGAAGCCUGAUGCAGCGACGCCGCGUGAGGGAUGACGGCCUUCGGGUUGUAAACCUCUUUCAGCAGGGACGAAGCGUUUGUGACGGUACCUGCAGAAGAAGCGCCGGCCAACUACGUGCCAGCAGCCGCGGUAAGACGUAGGGCGCAAGCGUUGUCCGGAUUUAUUGGGCGUAAAGAGCUCGUAGGCGGCUUGUCGCGUCGACUGUGAAAACCCGUGGCUCAACUGCGGGCUUGCAGUCGAUACGGGCAGGCUAGAGUUCGGUAGGGGAGACUGGAAUUCCUGGUG
rnacentral:rRNA from 2 species